rnacentral:rRNA from 1 species
AGCAGCAGUGGGGAUAUUGCACAAUGGGCGCAAGCCUGAUGCAGCCAUGCCGCGUGUGUGAAGAAGGCCUUCGGGUUGUAAAGCACUUUCAGUCAGGAGGAAAGGUUAGUAGUUAAUACCUGCUAGCUGUGACGUUACUGACAGAAGAAGCACCGGCUAACUCCGUGCCAGCAGCCGCGGUAAUACGGAGGGUGCGAGCGUUAAUCGGAAUUACUGGGCGUAAAGCGUACGCAGGCGGUUUGUUAAGCGAGAUGUGAAAGCCCCGGGCUCAACCUGGGAACUGCAUUUCGAACUGGCAAACUAGAGUGUGAUAGAGGGUGGUAGAAUUUCAGGUGUAGCGGUGAAAUGCGUAGAGAUCUGAAGGAAUACCGAUGGCGAAGGCAGCCACCUGGGUCAACACUGACGCUCAUGUACGAAAGCGUGGGGAGCAAACGGGAUUAGAUACCCCGGUAGUCCACGCCGUAAACGAUGUCUACUAGAAGCUCGGAGCCUCGGUUCUGUUUUUCAAAGCUAACGCAUUAAGUAGACCGCCUGGGGAGUACGGCCGCAAGGUUAAAACUCAAAUGAAUUGACGGGGCCCGCCCC